UGCCUCGUUUUAAAAACUUCCAGCCAAGUUCAGACUCUUGAACUCUCAAGGAGAAAAUAUCAAGCCCCAUGUCACCUGGGAUGAUGCCGGUGACAGGUCUGUUACAGACUCCAGAACGUAUGGAUACACUUGGGAGUCACCUUUUAAGGCAAUGCAAGUUCAUUGAAGAAUACCGAGUUAUAAUAACAAAAAUACCAGGUAUCUUUUGACACUGAGGCAGAGCACAGUGGAUAUGGCUUGUCUCUGCUCCAUGGUAUAUGUGGCUUCAGCUGAAGACACUCAAAAUAACUGGGAAUGACUUAAAUGGCAGGGGA